CUGCACUAUGAACAAUGUUCGCAGCCUUCCUCAGCCGCCUCUCCCGCCAGAAACCACCGCCCUCAAUCACCCUUAACUCCAAUCGCCACCCGCUCUCCACCACCACCUCCUCCUCCUACUCCUACUCGUCCCUCUACACUAAAUACUCUUUCGUGCCACCAGCCUCUCUCAACCCCCACAACUCCAUUAAGCCCCAGACCAGAACCUCACUCCAACAUCAACCCAACCAUAAAAAACCCUCCAAACCCCCGUACCGCCCACCAUCAUCCCUCGACAGGUCUGGUCAAGAGCCAGUCCAUUCCAACCUUCCUUUUGAUUUCCGGUUCAGUUACACCGAGAGCAGUCCAAAUGUCAGACCCAUUGGCCUUCGCGAGCCCAAGUACUCCCCAUUCGGGCCGGGCCGCCUGGACAGGUCCUGGACAGGUGUUUGUGCCCCGGUGACCGACCUGAAGGAGUGGUCCUCGGAAAAGGAGGAAGAUUUGGAGGAGAAGAGGAAAAUAUUGAGAGAGAGAGUUCAGGGAGAGCCGUUGACGAAUGCUGAGAGGAAAGCUCUCGUCGAGAGGUAUCAAAGGCACCGGACGAAGAAGCAAAUUAAUUUAGGUAUUUUAAUCUUUUAACUUUUUUCCUCGCUGCUUCAUUCUGUGAAUUGAACAUUGAUUUCAGGGUGAAUUGAUUUUUUUGUACUCUUUUCUACAGUAUAGAGCAAAUUCUUAAAUGAUUAUUCAUCAAUUACUACAUGAAUAAGUAGAAAAGAAAGAAAUGAAUGGAUGGAUAAGAGAAUUUGAAUAAAAAAAACUGUAAACUCUGCAAGAUAUGUGCAAAUUAUAUUGACACUUGGAAUAUUAGCACUGUAAGUUGAGCCUGCGCGAGUUUUGGUUUGGGGCAGAUUUGACUUCAACCCGAAACCAAAUAAGUCAAUUUGGGUGAAUUUCAACUCAAACCAACCCAUUCUAGCUCUUAAACCGAACCAAACUUUCUAAACCAAACCAAAGUUUGGUUCAAUUAGUCGGUUUCGCGGCACUGUGCAGCGUCAACCCCCACAUAUGGUCUUACGACUUUGCGGAGACCUGUGUUUUUGGUAAACAGUCGUCCAAGCCUGAUCGCCCAGGGAAUAAUGAAGCUUUAUAGGGUUUUUUUGUCUAGGUGCAAGUAGUCCGCAUGCUAGGAAAUUAAGAACAUAAAUCCAGUAGCCCAAACAAGAUGUCCAAAUAAGAACAUCCAUGCCUAGACCGAUAACCUAUUCAGGACUUGAACCAGAGAUCUCGCCCGUGAAGUAAAUCAUCGCACCUAUGGUCCAGCCAAUUGGAACACGAUAACUGGUACACUAGAGGUGCAUCCUUCCUGGUCUCGGUUUCGACUUUUAGUCGACAUUGAUUUUUAAAAAAAAAAUAAAAAUUGUCCGAGUUCUAAGCCUACUUAGAUUACAAGAACUAAAAUAACCAAAUAAUUUUAUAUUAUAAGAACCAUUGACUAACAAAUAAAAUUAGGUUAAUGGAGACGGAUCAACGGAAAACUUAAAAAAUUUCUUUUUCUUUUUAUGUAUUAUGUAGUCUUACUGCUAUUAUUUACCAGCAACAUCAGGGAAUCGAGAUAUAGUUAUGAGAAUAGGGCUUAUCUUUUGAUUUUGAUUUUUCUUAUAUUAAAACAAAGGUAAAUAUGUAAGUGGGUUGUGUUGGUUUGGUUAACCAAUUGUUUGAGACCGUUGGUUCAGUUAACCAACGGUUUGAGAUUUCAAAUCAUGAUUGAGUCGACACACCAUGAUUUUGUUUAAAAGAAAAACAAACAAACCAAUUACUUAGGUCAAAUGGGUCAGUUCUGUUUGAUUGAUUUGGUCGAUUUUUUUGCUCAGGCCUAGUUGUAGAAAGCUACAUACUUUCCACGAAAUUGUCAUGACUAGAUUGACAUGAAAGAAAAAAAAAUGAGAGGGAAAAGGAGCACAAUCGCACUGGAUUGUAGUUUUCUUCAAGUUGUUAUGGGGAUGAGGGGUCUAGGAAUGUGGAAGUAUUUGAUGUUGAAUGCGGGAAAGCAUGGAUUAAUAUCCUUGCCAAAAUUAAGCCCCGUUUGGCCCCCAUUAAAUUUCAUUUUAUUUUUCUCUCUCCUAUUAUCAACCACACAAUCUUUCAUAAAAUAAUACUGCACGUAAUCCGAAAACUUUUCAUUCUUUUUCAACCACUCAUUUUAAAUAAAAAAAAAAAAACCCACUAUUCCACCCUUUAUCAUUUCAAAAAAUGGGGGCCAAACAGAGGCUAACUUCUGAUCGAAAUGUAAUGGUUGAUCCUUUUGCAGUUCCUUUUUUUCAUAUAUUGCAUAUUUUCAUGAUAAAUAUCAGAGAUCAUGAAAUGAUGAAACAUGCCGAGGAGUGUCUAGGAGCAAAAGAAAAGCCUCUUGAGCAAUUAGGGUCAGUUGUAGAAGUUUGUCACUGGCUGUGCUUGUUACAAUUUUUUUUGCCCAUAGGCAGCCAACAGAACAAGAUAUUCGAUUUAUGUGGUCAUGAGAUUGAAGUAAAGAACAUAUGGUUUAGUUUUUGGUAUCUUUCUAAGUAAUUAAGUUUAAACUGGUACUCAGGUACCACAUGGGCUCCAGUUAAUGUAUUGUAAUGAAAAAUGGGUAAUUAAUUGAUCUGGUAUAUUUUUGAAAAAACAUUCUUUUAUCGCACGAAUAAACGAGUUAAUUGUUCCAAUGGUCACUGAAUUUAGAUCCAUGUCUUUGAUUGGCCACUGAACUUUGAAAAAUAUCGAGUUUUGGUUAUUGAACUUAGGUUUAUGUCUUUGAUUGGUUACUGAAGUUUAAAAUGUCAAAUUUUGGUUACUGAAUUUAGGUCCAUGUUUUAGAUUGCUCACUAAAGUUCAAAAAUGUCGAGUUUUGGCCAUUGAACUUUGGAAUAUGCCGUACGUUUCUCACUGAUAUAACUGUUGAACUUUGAAAAAUAUCGAGUUUACAGUGAAUAAUGUACAACAUUUUUCAAAAUUCAGUGUUUUAAAGUUCAGUGGCCAAUCAAAGACAUAGACCUAAGUUCAGUGAUCAUUGGAAUAGUUAACUCUGGAUAAACUACAUAUGCAUAAGCAAGAUCACAUUUGGGGUACCUGGCUUUGUCUUUAACUUUGUACAUGUACAUUUUUUUAGGGAGGAAUGGUUUAACACACAACAUGUUGAAUGAUAUUCAUAAUCACUGGCAACAUGAUGAGGCGGUCAGGAUAAAGUGCAUGGGUGUGCCUACUCUUGAUAUGAAAAACGUGUGCAUGCAAUUGGAGGUAUUUCCUUUUCUUCGUGUCUAUUGGAGCAUCCUCGCUGUAUCCCUUUUUCUUUUUUAUCAUUUAUUGUGAUAUAUUCCAAUCUUAAGGUCCGAAAUUUGUUUUUCUUCUGAGCGGUAUAAUUUUACUCAUAAAAUUUUUUAUUUUUCUCGUGACUGUUGUAUAAAUUACAUUCAGGAGUAUGUGUAUCCGUGGUUCAUGAUUUUUCUUUUUUAUUUUGUUUAUUAAGGUAUUUUGCAUAUCUUCCAGGAUAAAACAUUUGGCAAGAUCAUUUAUAGACAUGGCGGUCAACUUGUAUUGUACAGAGGUAGGAAUUAUCAUCCUAAGAAAAGACCUGUGAUUCCAUUAAUGCUAUGGAAGCCUCAGGAGCCAGUAUAUCCAAGGCUUAUAAAAACAACUAUCGAUGGCCUAAACAUUGAGGAAACUAAAAAAAUGAGGAAAAGAGGAUUAUCUGUCCCCGCCUUAACAAAGCUUGGUAAAAUUUCUUCCAUUCUUGAUUUUGUUACUAUAUCUGAUGUACUUCUACUAAUAGUUGAAUAAUAAUUGCAGCCAAAAAUGGUUAUUAUGGUAGUCUCGUGCCUAUGGUCCGGGAUGCUUUUCUCACUGAAGAGUUUGUACGGAUAGAUUGUAAAGGCCUUCAGAAGAGUGACUACAAGAAAAUUGGCUGCAAACUGAGGGUAAUACUUAGUAAAGCAUAUUAUUUUAUUUGAUAUUGCAUAUGAUUUCACCUCUAUUAGCAUGAAAAGACUUUUGCUUGCUUUUAUACUUAAUUUUUUCGUGUUGAUCCAUUAUGUAAACCUGACACUUCUUAUAUAUAUAUAUAUAUAUAUAUAUAUAUAUAUAUAUAUAUAUUUCUUCCUCUCACUCAUUGAUUCUUAGAAUAACAAUCUUGUAAGAUAGAAUUUUCUUUUUAAUUACUGUGAUGAUAAGAGCUAUACAUUGAAUUCAUAAAACAAAUAUAAUUUUAUUAUUAAAAUAUCAAAAGCUACGCACCUUACUUUAGGAGUUCUUACAUCCACUUCUUAGCCUGAGCAAAUGAAUCGUGAUUCAUAAAACAAAAAAAACAAAAAAAUUAAAUCAUCUAAACCAUAUAAACAAAAGUCUAGCAUCAACUUCUUAUCCAUGCAAGUGAAUCUUGAUUCACCUUCAAACUGGCAUCAUAGUAAUUAAAACACAUUAUACCAACCAACGAAUCAAGAUUAGAGUAGCAGAUAGCAACAACAAAAAACAAGUACAAAGGCUGGAAGAAAAACAGUUCUCUUUGCUGUCAAUAAAUACUAUGAAGAAUAUCAGAAUGAACAAGAAAUGUACUAUGAAAACCUAUAGCAUCUACAGAUAACAUGUCAAAGUGAAAAAUACCAUAGUAACAAAUAUUUAAUGAAAUCUGUUCACUUUAAAUUAGGAGGGGGAGGAAUCUGCUUACUUUCAUAUUCUUAUGAUGCAUAUUAUCGUGCUGAUAUGAAAACAAAUUUCAUUUUUUAUAUAUCAGCCAACGGAUGAUAUUUAAAUAUAGACCAGUGUACCCAGUAAUUAUAUCAAUCUAUUUCAUUUUGUUUGAGAAUUUGACAAGGAAAUAUUUUUUCCCAAUUAGAUAGAACUUACCUAGAUAUACUGUAAUCAUAAAGACCUUUAUCUUGAAAAGACCAUUUUGCAAAUCAUUAACAUUACUUAAGCAAGUAGGGAACACAAGGGUAAACAAACAUGAGAAAUUUCCUCUGAUGUAUAUAUCAUUCGUGCUCUACUCUUUAAGUUGUAACCACAGCAUCAAUAGCUGUGUAAAUACCUCGUCUAAGAUCCUUUGAGUUCAUGCAAGUUCCAAUUGACUUGCUACCCUCAGUAAAUAUUGGAUGAGUUAGGACAAUAGCACAUGUAGUACCUAUAUGUAUUUCAUAGAAUAUAUUCAAUUGGAUCCAAAAACUUUAUUGUGUAGGUCUCGUAUAUAUUUACAAGAAAUGAGUAGUCUAUAACCUAAUUAAGUAGAGAACUUACCAUCCCCAGCAGCAUCAUUGGUGGAACUUGCAUCCUGCUUUACGAGGCUCGCACCAGUAUUUUUGACUUUUUCCUUCAACUGAAUACUCUUUGCCACAUUGUAUAGUCCUAUAGAGUCCCAUCUUUCACUUCCAAUACAUGGUUAACAAUUUGACUUAGAAAGCAUUGAUCAUGAAAAACCCUAAUAUCAGUAUCUUUGUACUCAUUUAUUGUCUUCUAAUGUGACAUAUAGAACAAGUUAAAGGAGAAAAAGAAGACAAAAUAAAUUAAAAGCUAUAUGAGACAAGAGUAACAAGUGUAGAGCAAGGGAAUAAAAAUAUAGGCAUAACUGAAAGAGAAUGAAAAUAAACAUCUCAUGUGCCAAAGGUAACAACAAUCAUGUCAUUAUAUUUAAAAAUCAUGGGUAGUGUACGAAAGGAUAUAAAAGAUGGGAGUUAAAUAUAUGUUAGACCUUGUUCAAAUGCUCAUAUUGUUAGUUUCCAAGGCCAAAUAUUCCAUACUGAAGAUUCUUAAACCAGUCUCCUCUGUAAACCACUUAUAGAACUUUGUUGCAUUCUCGGUAGGCUCACCAUUACCAUAUCUACAACCAACAAACAACCAUCAAAACUUAAAUUGCAUACUAACUCAUUUACCCUCUGAUUUUUUGGCAAAUACAAAUAUGCAUUUAUUGUUGAAACUUAAAAUCAUAUGCACACAAAUAACUAAUUAUUAUACAUUUGGCAUGUACAUAUACACAAUUUUGGGUUUUUAUUUAAUUCAGGUACAGCUAGAAGUAGAAUUGAUGAAUUUAUGUGGCAAGAAAGAAGAAUGCCAAAUUUUCCUUCCCUAUGAUGGUUAAAAAAAUAUCAAUUGAAAAUUAAAAUCACAAAUUUACUCAAUGAACAAGCAAAGCAUAAGUAGAAUAUUCCCUCUAAAAUGGAAAAUGAACAUGAAAAUUCACUAUAUUGCUCACUUUAAUUAGGCUUUUUAUAUCUAGCUUUAGCUCCCUAAUUGCAAAAAUAAAAAAUAAAAAAUAAAAAAUUGAAUUAUGAAGAUUUGAGAAGGAAUAUUUGUUACUUUGGAAAGUCUAUUUGCGUUUUCUGAUUUUCUUUCAUACCACAACAUAUAUGUAAAAAUUCCAAAGGACGUCACGUGACAUAAAAUAACAUAUUUUUUUAAAACAAAAACCGAAUAGAUAAAAAAGGGGAAAAAAUAAAAUAGUACUUGGGAUGGCAGCCUCGGUAAAAUCUAGUCGCAAUGAUUCUUCGCUCAAUCUUCCUGCUGCUCUCUGUUGUCAAAUUCUUUCUGACUGCAAACAUAUGCAAUCGCUCUUAUACAAGAAAUUAAAAAAUUAAUGCAAAAAAGAGAGAAAAAUAAAGAUAUUGUACAGAUCAAUAGAGAAAAAUUAUGAGAGAAAUCAACGUACUGUUCAUCGGUCUAGUGAUGCAAUGCAAGAAUCCAUUUUAUCCUCUACUGGAAUUAAGAGAUGGAGCAAGAGAGAUUUAUUGUUCGAAUAAUUCAACAAUUGACCUCAUGUCCUCUCGAAAAGAAAGCAAUCGGGCAAGAGGGUUUGACAUAUAUUUACAGGAUGUUAUGGACUAUCGAGAUAUUGAAGAGUUGGAAGCAGCUGAAGGAGGUGGUUUUGACGGUCGAGGGGGUAGCGGAAGAAGUGGAGAUGUUGCAGCAGAUUUCUAGGGCUUGUGCCAAAGAAGAAUGUAAUACAAAUGAAUAAGGAAUGGGGAUACUUAGCUUCAUGUACAGUGAGAAAAAAGAAAAGAAAAUGUAUUAGGGAAGCUACCCAAAUGUCCAUAUUGCCCUUUUUUGGUAUGGUCAAGAGGAGGCGAUUCACCGUUGUAUUUAAGGAUAAAAUGGGAAAGUAAAAAAGCUUCCUAAAUGAAUAGUUGAUGGAGGAUUCUCUCUUUUAAGAGAGUAGAAAAAAUAUGAAUUUAUUUUAUAUUUAAAAGUCAUUUAUUGUUCGUUAUUUUCGACUAAAUGAUGAUGGGUGAUUGUGUAUAGAAACGGAGAAGUAAAGAGACAUGGUUGAUAGCGUGAAAAAAUGGAGAAAUAGAUUGUGUGUCAGAUUCAAACCAUGCAUGAGAAGACUCUAGAUUCCAGGGUUUUAUUAUUAUAAAAAAAGGACCAAACUAGUUUUCAAACUAGUUCAAUGUGAAAAUCAGUGUGAUGAAAAUGAACAAUAAACAUCACAUUCUCUCUGUUAAGGUAAAGAGGGAGAGAAAUUGUUUUUAACAAAAUGAUGUAGAUUAUAAUGAGAAAAUUGUCGCAAAAAAUAAUAAACAUUAAUAAAAUAUUUGAUUUCUAUAAGAAAAAAGACGAACUAUACGCAUUUUUUAACAUACGCGUUUGAUGUACGUUUAACUAUUUUUACUCUUUAUUUAAAUCAUUCGAUAUGUCUAUAAUAUAGUUCUCGAGAUGAACUUCUAGAUAAUAUAGAAGAUUUCUGGAUUCGACUACCGUACAAUCAUCAAUGAAUUUUUAAAAUUAGCUUGUUAUCGAAAUUCUUGAAAUAAUAGUUUCGAAAUGCAUAUUUUGACGCCCCGUAGUAUUUGCUACGAUUGGCCGUUUCACGCACUGUCAACGACGUGCAGUACUAUGCUGUGAGUACUUCAAAAUGAUAUUAAGAACGUAAUACUUCUACUUCGUUUGAUAUCCCAUAAUGAGCCCGAAAAUUAAAAAAAAAAAAAAAAGAUAGCAUUUUGCUCAAAUGUUCCGUGCAUGGUGCACGGAGCUUUAUAUAUAUAUAUAUUUUCAAUUUUUUUUUUAAAUAACUUGAAGCAAAUUUUGUACUCAUAUGUAACCCUAGAAAUAUACUCAAAAUUUAAAAUUAAUAUUUUUUUUACUUAUAAGUAGUUUUUACAAUUUUAAGUUUUUUUACUCUUAAAUAACUUCAAGCAAAUUUUUUUUACCUAUAAGUAACUUUUUAUAUUUAAAAUUUUUUUUUUAUCUUAUUAUUAGUCUAGUGAUUUUUUUAGUUAUAAGUAACUUUUUAUAUUUUAGAUAAAUAACUUUAAGCAAUUUUUUUACCCAUAUGUAACUUUUUACAUUUUAGAAAUAAUUUUUCUAUAUUAUUAGUCGAAGUGAUUUUUUGAGUUAUAAGUAACUUUUUAUAUUUCACAUAGAAAUAAAGAAUAUUUAGAUAUAUUUAAUUUUUUUAAAACUAAAUAUUAAUAAAAGAAUUUAAUAUACAUAAAAAAAUACAGUAGAGUCUCUCCGUGAACGGAGGAAAAUUGCUCCGUGCACGGUCGAAAAUUUCUCUGUGCACGGAGCAUUUUUGAUUUCUGAAAGAAAUUUUUUCUUUUUUGUUUUUUUUAAGUUAUUAUUAUUAUUAUUAUUUUUAAGUUAUGUUUUUAUUUUCAUUUUCAGGCUCAUUACGGUAUAUCAAAUGAAGUCGAAAUAUUACAUUUUUAAUAUCAUUUUGAAAUACUCACGAUAUAGUAUUGCACGUCAUUAAACGAUCAAUCGUAGCAGAUAUUACGGGGCAUCAAAACAGUCAUUUCCAAACUAUUAUUUCGAAAAUUUCGAUAACAAGCUAACUUUAAAAAUUCAUCGAUGAUUGUACGAUAGUCGAAUCCAUAAAUCUUCUAUGUUCUCUUGAAACUCAUUUCGAGAACUAUAUCAUAAACACAUCGAAUGAUCUAAAUAAAUAUAAAAAAUAGUUAAACGUACACCAAACGUGUGUGUAAAAAAUACGUAUAACUCGUCUUUUUUCUUAAAAAAAAUAAUUAUUUUAUUAACGUUUAUUAUUUUUUCGUGACAAUUUUCUCAAUAUAAUUUACAUCAUUUUGUUAAAAAAAUUAUUUGGUAAGACAUAAAUAUUUUUUUUGGACGUAAAAAUUUCUAAUAAAAUUAUUAUCAUUCUUACAUAAAAGUGAUUCUUUGAAAAUAAAAUAGUGAUUAAAAAAAUUAUCAACAAAUAAAAAGAUUACCAAUAAAAAAAUCCAAACAAACGAAAAUAAAGAGUGGUUGAGUACAAAGUGAAGAGAUGAUAGUUGGUGGGAGGUAUGGAAAGUUGCGUGUUGCAGUAAAUUUAGAUUGUCCCCUUUAUACUAUUAAAAAUAGCUCACACCCACUAUAAAAAAAUAUUGCAAUAGUCUGGAAUAAAUUACUAUUAUCAAACCAGUUCCAAACUAAUUCAAUGUGAAAACGAGUGAGACAAAAAUGAACAAUAAACCCUCGUUCUCAAAAAAAAAGUUGAACCCCAACCUUAAGUGCCCCCCACCGCCCCUACCUUGGAGAAUCGUGAGGGAGUUAAAUUGCAGGUUAUGCCUCCAAGGGUACAGGGUGGAAGGUUAUUUGUACACUUGCACUAACCAAGAGCUAAAUCCAUAUUUCAGAAUUCGAACCCUUGGCGUAUCAACCUCAAACAAAAUUGAAUUUCUUUACCCUCUCCUUUUAUCAAUUGGAGAUGUGGCCCGAGGGCAACCCUCUUUCUCUCUUUUAUGUGGUGUAGAUAUAUAAAGCCAAAUUUAGGCUUAAGCUGCGAAAUAUUUCUGUCGGCCUGCACUAUGAACAAUGUUCGCAGCCUUCCUCAGCCGCCUCUCCCGCCAGAAACCACGGCCCUCAAUCACCCUUAACUCCAAUCGCCACCCGCUCUCCACCACCACCUCCUCCUCCUCCUACUCGUCCCUCUACACUAAAUACUCUUUCGUGCCACCAGCCUCUCUCAACCCCCACAACUCCAUUAAGCCCCAGACCAGAACCUCACUCCAACAUCAACCCAACCAUAAAAAACCCUCCAAACCCCCGUACCGCCCACCAUCAUCCCUCGACAGGUCUGGUCAAGAGC
rnacentral:lncRNA from 1 species